AAAAAAACGUUUCUCUCACUAUAAACCCAAAUAUACAUCAAUGAAGCUUAUUAACUGUAGAUCUGAAGGUAAUGGAGCCAACAAGGAUUUCCUUGAAGCCGUUAACAAGCUGAUUGCACUUGGAAUCAAUUGUGGAGAUAUUAGGAAGGUUGAAAAGGCUGGAAUACAUAGUUAUAAUGACUUGAUGAUACAGACAAAGAAGAAUUUGACUGGAGUUGAAGAAUUUAAAGUUGAGAAGAUAUGCGAAGCCGCUUAGAAGGUGUUGGUAAGUUCAGUGCGAUGUAAUUUCUCCAGUUAUCCGUUUUAUUACUUCGUAUGAUUGUUUAACAUAUAUUUAAAUUCUAAAAUGUUAGCAUUGUUUGUUUUUUUUGUUUUUGUUUAUGAAGAAUUUGACUGGAGUUGAAGAAUUUAAAGUUGAGAAGAUAUGCGAAGCCGCUGAGAAGGUGUUGGUAAGUUCUGUGCAAUGAAAUUUCUCUAGUUAUCCGUUUUAUUACUCUGUGUGAUUGUUUAACAUAUAUUUAAAUUCUAAAAUGUUAGCAUUGUUUUUUUUUUUUUUUUUUUUUGUUUAUGAAGAAUUUGACUGGAGUAGAAGAAUUUAAAGUUAAGAAGAUAUGCGAAGCCGCUGAGAAGGUGUUGGUAAGUUCUGUGCGAUGUAAUUUCUCCAGUUAUCCGUGUUAGACAAUAUUCUGUAAAUAAUAUUGUCCAUAGUUAGCCUAAUCUAAUUAUGUAAAGUAGGGUUACUUAGGAUUACUAUAUAUAUUGUGCAUAAUCAAUGAAAGCCUCCUCAAGGAGAAUUAUCCAAUCUUACAAUCUGUUUUAUUACUCCGUACGAUUGUUUAACAUAUAUUUAAUUAAUCUAAGUUGAAUAAUAAUAUUGGUAAUUAGUGAUGCCUAAGGAAAAGAAAAAAACGGUAUAGUAGUAUGUAAUUCGCAAAACAAAACGACUUUUUCUUUGGGGUUUUGAGCUAAGAAUUUCAAAAACUCUGAUUUGCAGGACAGUGAAGGUGGGAGUUCAA